rnacentral:rRNA from 1 species
GACGAACGCUGGCGGCGUGCUUAACACAUGCAAGUCGAACGCUGAAGCUCAGCUUGCUGGGUGGAUGAGUGGCGAACGGGUGAGUAACACGUGAGUAACCUGCCCUCUUCUUUGGGAUAACGCCCGGAAACGGGUGCUAAUACUGGAUAUUCACUGAUUCUCGCAUGGGGGUUGGUGGAAAGGUUUUUUCUGGUGGGGGAUGGGCUCGCGGCCCAUCAGCUUGUUGGUGGGGUGAUGGCCUACCAAGGCUUUGACGGGUAGCCGGCCUGAGAGGGUGACCGGUUAAAUUGGGACUGGGGUUCGGGCCAGACUUCUACGGGAGGCAGGAGUGGGGAAUAAUUGACCAUGGGGGGAAGGCUGGAGCAGGGAAGGCGGGGGAGGGAUGGAGGCCUUCGGGUUGUAAACCUCUUUCGCUCAUGGUCAAGCCGCAGCUUUGGGUUGUGGUGAGGGUAGUGGGUAAAGAAGCGCCGGCUAACUACGUG